CGUGGCAGCGUGUUGAAAUCUGGAAAUUUCCAGAUUUAAGGACAAUUUUCGUCCAUUUUUUUUCCUCAUCUUCAAACAUAGAUAUCUCGUCCAUUUUAAGCUCAAAUUAGGUGAUUCAAAAGGCUAAUUUCAAGAGAAUUUUGUGGGGAAUCUAGAGGUGAGCUCAGAAACGCGAGGGGAGGCUUCGUUUGAGUGGGGAAGCAUUUGGAGACCGUUCGGAGGGGAAAAGCUCUGGUACCGUGAGUUGGAGCACGCGUGAUCGGCUUUCAGGUCCGAGUACUAGCUACCGACGUUGAUUCGAGCCAGCUGCGGUCAUGAUCGGAGGCAAGGGUGAGCACACAACG